AUUGAACGCUGGCGGCAGGCCUAACACAUGCAAGUCGAACGAGUGGCGGCUGGGCGAGCAAGGUCUGGGAAACUGCCUGACGUAGGGGGAUAACGACUGGAAACCGUAGCUAAUACUGCAUAACAUCGUCUGUGCCCACAUGGAAUUAGCUAGUAGGUGUGGUAAAGGCUCACCUAGGCGACGAUCCCUAGCUGGUCUGAGAGGAUGACCAGCCACACUUGAACUGGGACACGGUCCAGACUCCUACGUGAGUCAGCAGUGGGGAAUAUUGCACAAUGGGCGCAAGCCUGAUGCAGCCAUGCCGCGUGUAUGAAGAAGGCCUUCGGGUUGUAAAGUACUUUCAGCGGGGAGGCGUUACCCGCAGAAGAAGCACCGGCUAACUCCGUGCCAGCAGCCGCGGUAAUUC
rnacentral:rRNA from 1 species